rnacentral:rRNA from 1 species
CCUACGGGGGGCUGCAGUGGGGAAUAUUGGGCAAUGGGCGCAAGCCUGACCCAGCAACGCCGCGUGAAGGAAGAAGGCUUUCGGGUUGUAAACUUCUUUUCUCAGGGACGAAGCAAGUGACGGUACCUGAUGAAUAAGCCACGGCUAACUACGUGCCAGCAGCCGCGGUAAUACGUAGGUGGCAAGGGUUAUCCGGAUUUACUGGGUGUAAAGGGCGUGUAGGCGGGGACGCAAGUCAGAUGUGAAAACCACGGGCUCAACCUGUGGCCUGCAUUUGAUACUGUGUUUCUUGAGUACUGGAGAGGCAGACGGAAUUCCAAGUGUAGCGGUGAAAUGCGUAGAUAUUAGGAGGAACACCAGUGGCGAAGGCGGUCUGCUGGACAGCAACUGACGCUGAGGCGCGAAAGCGUGGGGAGCAAACAGGAUUAGAUACCCUUGUAGUC